AUUGAACGCUGGCGGCAUGCCUUACACAUGCAAGUCGAACGGUAACGGGCCUUCGGGUGCCGACGAGUGGCGAACGGGUGAGUAAUGCAUCGGAACGUACCUUUCAGUGGGGGAUAACGUAGCGAAAGUUACGCUAAUAACGCAUAUUCUGUGAGCAGGAAAGCAGGGGAUCGCAAGACCUUGCGCUGAUUGAGCGGCUGAUGUCAGAUUAGUUAGUUGGUGAGGUAAAAGCUCACCAAGGCGACGAUCUUUAGUCGGGUCUGAGAGGAUCAUCCGCCACACUGGGACUGAGACACGGCCCAGACUCCUACGGGAGGCAGCAGUGGGGAAUUUUGGACAAUGGGGGCAGCCCUGAUCCAGCCAUGCCGCGUGAGUGAAGAAGGCCUUCGGGUUGUAAAGCUCUUUCGGCCGGGAAGAAAUCGCACAGGCUAAUACCUUGUGUGGAUGACGGUACCGGAAUAAGAAGCACCGGCUAACUACGUGCCAGCCGCCGCGGUAAGAC
rnacentral:rRNA from 1 species